GAGUUUGAUCAUGGCUCAGGAUGAACGCUAGCGGCAGGCUUAACACAUGCAAGUCGAACGGUAACAGAUCUUCGGAUGCUGACGAGUGGCGCACGGGUGCGUAACGCGUAUGCAACCUACCUCUAACUGGGGAAUAGCCCGGGGAAACUCGGAUUAAUACCCCAUAACAUUUUGGAAUCGCAUGAUUCUGAAAUUAAAACUCCGGUGGUUAGAGAUGGGCAUGCGUCCUAUUAGCUAGUUGGUGAGGUAACGGCUCACCAAGGCAACGAUAGGUAGGGGGUCUGAGAGGAUUAUCCCCCACACUGGUACUGAGACACGGACCAGACUCCUACGGGAGGCAGCAGUGAGGAAUAUUGGGCAAUGGACGAAAGUCUGACCCAGCCAUGCCGCGUGCAGGAAGACGGCCCUAUGGGUUGUAAACUGCUUUUCUAUGGGAAGAAACACUCCGACGUGUCGGAACUUGACGGUACCAUAGGAAUAAGGAUCGGCUAACUCCGUGCCAGCAGCCGCGGUAA
rnacentral:rRNA from 1 species